rnacentral:misc_RNA from 1 species
UAGCAAAGGAGGGGACGGUCAAUUUUUGCUAAUGUGGCAAGGGUGAUGAUGUGGCACUGCUGUGUCAGGUGAUGUGGUAGUGCUGGCAAGUGAUGUGGUGUUGAUGUCUGUAGAGGCAGUGGAUGGAUCUAGUGUAGGCAGUAGCACAGAAUAGCAAGUGAGCUCAAUUGGGUUUGGGCACAAAUAGUACCCAACCUGAUGGAAACUUGCUGCAGGGGUGGAUGGCAGUUUCGACGACAAGAAAAGACAGAUCGGCGGUUGGCAAUGCAAGGAGGGGUCUAGUUUUCGGAAUCUGGAUGGAUGAUGGCGGGUUGAGUUUUGGGUUGAUCUUCAACCUGUGUGGUUCUUUGCCUUUGGGGCACGGCUGGCGGCUAAAAUGGCCUAGGGAUAGUCAACUGGUGGUCGCCGGUUGAUUUGCGGUGACGGUGGGCCUUUCCAAUGGUUGGAGGAUGGUGGGCAUUGGUGAAAAGGGUUGUCAAUGCUAAGUUGUCGCAAUGCUUUGUUUCUUAAGGCUCUUUUCUUUUUUUUUUCAAUGGUAAAAGGAAAUUUCGCAGAAACACAAAGGACAAAUUAGAGUAACAGUGUGGAAGGUGAAAUUUUUGAAGGACAAGUAAAGGUGGGAUGUUUGGGGAUUUCGCAAAAGCUAUAUGGAAUUUAGAUUGAUUAUAGGCUCUGAUUCCAAAAUUGAUGUAGAACAAGGAGGAACAAGCAUAGUUAUCAAAGGCUCAAG